AGAGUUUGAUCCUGGCUCAGGACGAACGCUGGCGGCGCGCCUAACACAUGCAAGUCGAACGGUGAAGAGGAGCUUGCUCCUCGGAUCAGUGGCGGACGGGUGAGUAACACGUGAGCAACCUGGCUCUAAGAGGGGGACAACAGUUGGAAACGACUGCUAAUACCGCAUAAUGUAUCGGGAUGGCAUCUUCCUGAUACCAAAGAUUUUAUCGCUUAGAGAUGGGCUCGCGUCUGAUUAGAUAGUUGGCGGGGUAACGGCCCACCAAGUCGACGAUCAGUAGCCGGACUGAGAGGUUGAACGGCCACAUUGGGACUGAGACACGGCCCAGACUCCUACGGGAGGCAGCAGUGGGGGAUAUUGCACAAUGGGGGAAACCCUGAUGCAGCGACGCCGCGUGAGGGAAGACGGUCCUCUGGAUUGUAAACCUCUGUCUUCGGGGACGAAACGAGACGGUACCCGAGGAGGAAGCCACGGCUAACUACGUGCCAGCAGCCGCGGUAAUACGUAGGUGGCAAGCGUUGUCCGGAAUUACUGGGUGUAAAGGGAGCGUAGGCGGGCAGGCAAGUCAGGCGUGAAAUAUAUCGGCUCAACCGGUAACGGCGCUUGAAACUGCAGGUCUUGAGUGAAGUAGAGGUUGGCGGAAUUCCUAGUGUAGCGGUGAAAUGCGUAGAUAUUAGGAGGAACACCAGUGGCGAAGGCGGCCAACUGGGCUUUUACUGACGCUGAGGCUCGAAAGUGUGGGGAGCAAACAGGAUUAGAUACCCUGGUAGUCCACACCGUAAACGAUGAUUACUAGGUGUGGGGGGACUGACCCCUUCCGUGCCGGAGUUAACACAAUAAGUAAUCCACCUGGGGAGUACGGCCGCAAGGUUGAAACUCAAAGGAAUUGACGGGGGCCCGCACAAGCAGUGGAGUAUGUGGUUUAAUUCGACGCAACGCGAAGAACCUUACCAAGUCUUGACAUCCCUUGACGAUGCUGGAAACAGUAUUUCUCUUCGGAGCAAGGAGACAGGUGGUGCAUGGUUGUCGUCAGCUCGUGUCGUGAGAUGUUGGGUUAAGUCCCGCAACGAGCGCAACCCUUGUGAUAUGUUACUAACAUUGAGUUGAGGACUCAUAUCAGACUGCCGGUGAUAAACCGGAGGAAGGUGGGGAUGACGUCAAAUCAUCAUGCCCCUUAUGGCCUGGGCUACACACGUACUACAAUGGCGUCUACAAAGAGCGGCAAGCCUGUGAAGGCAAGCGAAUCUCAUAAAGGACGUCUCAGUUCGGAUUGAAGUCUGCAACCCGACUUCAUGAAGCUGGAAUCGCUAGUAAUCGCGAAUCAGCAUGUCGCGGUGAAUACGUUCUCGGGCCUUGUACACACCGCCCGUCAAACCAUGGGAGUUGGUAAUGCCCGAAGCCGGUGGCAUAACCUUUCGAGGAGUGAGCCGUCGAAGGCAGGACCGAUGACUGGGGUUAAGUCGUAACAAGGUAUCCCUACGGGAACGUGGGGAUG
rnacentral:rRNA from 1 species